rnacentral:lncRNA from 1 species
GUGCCGACAGUGACAGCGACUCUGAUUCUGACACAGACUCCAGUGCCUGACAGUUGCACAUGAGGAAGACAGCAUGAAGAAAGCCAAGUUUAAUGUGAAAGUACUAACAUGUGCUUUGAGAAGUAAACGUCUAGAUAAAUACUGAGACCUUAACCCAGUGACUGGCACAUAAGAAUACAGUACAUACCAGCUGCGACAUUUAUCAUUGUAAUUCCUUGUGGCACA